UUGCUCGCCAAAUCUCCUCGACAAAUACACCCAUAUCAGUUUUCUAGCUAAAGUAGGAGAAGUAGGCCAUCCAUUCAAGUUUCACUUAUUAUUGCCAUCUCUGCCUUUCAAUCUAAGACUCGUUGUUGUUCCAAUAAAGAAUUGUAUAGGGCACUAGAUGGAACUCACAUUCCAGUAACAGUGUCUGAUGAGGAGAGACCAAGAUAUCGAAAUAGAAAGGGAGAUAUGUCUACCAAUGUUUUAGGAGUUUGUGAUCCAGAUCUAAAAUUCGUUUAUGUAAUAUCCGGAUGGAAGGGUUCUGCUUCUGACGC